GCAUAAGCCUCCUGUGUCCCUCUUUGCCUGGCAAAGAAAUAAAGCUAUUCCUCUUCCCAAAACUGUCUCCAAGAUUUAUUCAGCACCACUGCAUAGAGGCUGAAUUUUAAGCAGCACCACCAACCUGACUUGUUUACCCAACUUGUUCCGAGAGGAGCAACCCCACGUCCAUGGGCCAGAGGCUGCGCAGGCACAGGAGGACCGAGAGGAGCUACUCCAUGUUCAAGCUCAGGAGGGGUGGCCGUGAGGAGAUACCCCUCGUCCAAGCUGAUGCUACCACAGGAUCUUCAAAUCCACUUUCUAAAGAAGAACAUAGCAGAGUGGUGAAGUACUCAAGCUGUCAAGAUUAGCAGAUCAAAUCCAAGUUUUAAUGCUUAGAGUGACUUCUUUUUGAAGUUUUCUGUUGUAAAAUAAAGAGAAUGAUAGUCUCUAUCUCA